AGCCAAAAAUCGUAAAAUCGUAUUGAACCAAAUUAAACACUGAACUCUCUCUCUCUACUAAAUUCAUCACCCACCUCACUCUAUCUCUCUCUACAAAUUUCUACUUCACUUUGCACCCUAAUUAUCAAUGCUCUACUGAAUCUCGUAGCCGGGUUACUCAAUUCCAACUUGAAGCAUUGUCAACUCUCAAACGCCUCAAUUCGUUGCUCGUCGAAAGCUACCUUGUAGCAGCUGUUGGAUUACAGAUCAUAUGGAGCCUUGUACUUGCUAUAGCUGAUGUAUAUGCAAUAUUGGUGAAAAGAAGUUAUAGAAAUGCAACAGUUAAUCGAGUCUAUUUGCUUUGUUGGUGAUGGGAUCACUUCUACUCUUACAUU